CCCUACCGCUAUCGGGAUGGGAUUAAGACAUGUUAGUCGUGCGCUUCCUAGCCAUGAUGGAGGCGCGGCGCACAGCUCAGUAUCACGUGGCUAACCUAACCUUAGGACGGGGGCACCCCCGGGAAACUGGGGCUAAUUUCCGAUAGGUGAAGAUUCCUGGAAUGGAUUUUUGCCUAAAGGGCACUUGGGUCAUGCUUCCAGGUGUUGCCUAAGGAUGGGGCCGCGGCCGAUCAGGUUGUUGGUGAGGUAAUGGCCCACCAAGCCUUUUACCGGUGCGGGCCGUGGGAGCGGGAGCCCGGAGAUGGGCACUGAGACAAGGGCCCAGGCCCUACGGGGCGCAGCAGUCGCGAAAAUUUCGCAAUAAGCGAAAGCUUGACGGAGCUAUCCCGAGUGCCAUCCGCUGAGGAUGGCUUUUCUCUAGUAUAGAUAGCUGGGGGAAUAAGGAGAGGGCAAGUCUGGUGUCAGCCGCCGCGGUAAUACCAGCUCUCCGAGUGGUGGGGAUGAUUAUUGGGCCUAAAGCAUCCGUAGCCGGCUGAGCAAGUCCCCUGUUAAAUCCGGCGAUUCAAUCGCUGGCCUGCGGGGGAUACUGCUUGGCUAGGGGGCGAGAGAGGCCGUCGGUAUUCCCGGGGUAGGGGUGAAAUCCUAUAAUCCCGGGAGGACCACCAGUGGCGAAGGCUGUCGGCUAGAACGCGCUCGACGGUGAGGGAUGAAAGCUGGGGGAGCGAACCGGAUUAGAUACCCGGGUAGUCCCAGCUGUAAACGAUGC
rnacentral:rRNA from 1 species